UAUGAAGUAAGUAAAGCCAUUGUCUGCUAAGCAUAUAGGUCUGCAGGAGGAUUGUUUGAGCCCACUUCUGGGCUGUAGAAUGUCACACUGAAAGGGUAUCUCCACUAAGCUCGACAUCAAUAUGAUGAACUCCUGGGAACAGGGAACCACCAGGUUGCUUAAGGAGGGGUGAACAAGCUCAGGUCAGAAACAGAUCCGAUCAAAACUCCCAUGCUGAUUGGUAGUUGAAUCACACCUGUGAAUAGCCACUUCCCUCCAGACCUGGAUUCAAAUCUUGCCUGGGCCCUU
ensembl:misc_RNA Metazoa_SRP Metazoan signal recognition particle RNA